CAGCCGCCGCGGGAAUACGUGGGUGGCAAGCGUUGUCCGGAAUUAUUGGGCGUAAAGCGCGCGCAGGUGGUUUAAUAAGUCUGAUGUGAAAGCCCACGGCUCAACCGUGGAGGGUAAUUGGAAACUGUUAAACUUGAGUGCAGGAGAGAAAAGUGGAAUUCCUAGUGUAGCGGUGAAAUGCGUAGAGAUUAGGAGGAACACCAGUGGCGAAGGCGGCUUUUUGGCCUGUAACUGACACUGAGGCGCGAAAGCGUGGGGAGCAAACAGGAUUAGAUACCCGCGUAGUCCCUGUCUCUUAUAC
rnacentral:rRNA from 1 species